UGUCCGCCCUGCUCCGGACCGGGCCGCGCGCUGUGCCCCGAGAGCCAAGAGGGUAGGAGCGAACGCGGGAGCUAGAGGGCAGGGCCGAGGCGCCGCGGCCGGCCCAGAGAGGCCCCCGCACGUCCAGGGCCGCCGCUCGGCGCCCCGAGGGGCAGUCGGCGCCCGGCGCGCUCUUCUCGGGGCGGUGGGCAAGGCUGGCGGCCUGACGCGGGCGCGGGAGACGAGGAGACGCGGAGAGGAAGGUGUCCCGGCUGCAGGCACCCCUCGCUGGCUCCAGCAGGAAGGGGCGACUCAGGUGGCCGUGCGACUGCCGCUGGUUUCGGUGCGCCAUGACGGGCCGCUGCCGCUUUCUGCCGUCGCGCUUGGCGCCCCGGGCCUCCCCACCGCCUCCUCUCCGGCGGCCGCUGUUACCGCCGCCAUCCUCCGGCUCCCACGGCGACUGGCGGCUGAGUGGGAGGCGCCCGCCCAGACUCCGCCGGAGCCACCUUCCCUCCUCCCCCAGCCACCCAGCCGUUAUUAACGGAGAAAGAGGAAAAACGGGUGGCGCGCGAGGGGAGGACGAAGAAUGAGAGGGAGGGAGGGGUGGCCCGCGCUUCCCGGCAACCGUGGCUUCGC
rnacentral:lncRNA from 1 species